CCUACGGGUGGCUGCAGUGAGGAAUAUUGGUCAAUGGGCGCGAGCCUGAACCAGCCAAGUAGCGUGAAGGAUGACUGCCCUACGGGUUGUAAACUUCUUUUAUAAAGGAAUAAAGUGAGGCCCGUGUGCCUUUUUGUAUGUACUUUAUGAAUAAGGAUCGGCUAACUCCGUUCCAGCAGCCGCGGUAAGACGGAGGAUCCGAGCGUUAUCCGGAUUUAUUGGGUUUAAAGGGAGCGUAUAUGGGUUGUUAAGUCAGUUGUGAAAGUUUGCGGCUCAACCGUAAAAUUGCAAUUGAUACUGGCAGCCUUGAGUACAGUUGAGGUAGGCGGAAUUCGUGGUGUAGCGGUGAAAUGCUUAGAUAUCACGAAGAACUCCGAUUGAGAAGGCAGCUUACUAAACUGCCACUGACAUUGAUGCUCGAAAGUGUGGGUAUCAAACAGGAUUAGAUACCCGGAUAGUC
rnacentral:rRNA from 1 species